rnacentral:rRNA from 1 species
AACGAACGCUGGCGGCAGGCUUAACACAUGCAAGUCGAGCGCCCCGCAAGGGGAGCGGCAGACGGGUGAGUAACGCGUGGGAAUCUACCCAUCUCUGCGGAAUAGCUCUGGGAAACUAGAAUUAAUACCGCAUACGCCCUACGGGGGAAAGAUUUAUCGGGGAUGGAUGAGCCCGCGUUGGGUCAGCUAGUUGGUGGGGUAAAGGCCUACCAAGGCGACGAUCCAUAGCUGGUCUGAGAGGAUGAUCAGCCACAUUGGGACUGAGACACGGCCCAAACUCCUACGGGAGGCAGCAGUGGGGAAUAUUGGACAAUGGGCGCAAGCCUGAUCCAGCCAUGCCGCGUGAGUGAUGAAGGCCUUAGGGUUGUAAAGCUCUUUCACCGAUGAAGAUAAUGACGGUAGUCGGAGAAGAAGCCCCGGCUAACUUCGUGCCAGCCGCCGCAGUAA